rnacentral:rRNA from 1 species
UACAGAGGUCUCGAGCGUUGUUCGGAUUCAUUGGGCGUAAAGGGCGCGUAGGCGGCGGGGUAAGUCUGGUGUGAAAUCUCGGAGCUCAACUCCGAAAUUGCACUGGAUACUGCUCUGCUAGAGGGCUGGAGAGGAGAUCGGAAUUCACGGUGUAGCAGUGAAAUGCGCAGAUAUCAGGAGGAACACCGGUGGCGAAGGCGGAUCUCUGGGCCGAUACUGACGCUGAGGAGCGAAAGCGUGGGGAGCGAACAGG